AGAUUAAAAGAGUGACUAUUGACAUUUAAUACAGCAAAAAGGUAAGAAUGAUAAUAUUCCUUACCUUCUAUUAACUUGUAUGAAUUUCGAAUAUUUUUUACUACGUGGCAAGUUGUCUUUCAUUCUCACCAUCAUUUGACAUUUUCAUUUUCUUUAUCAAACUUUCAAUUAAUACAUCUAAACGUUAUCAUUAUCAAACUUUUAAUGAUAAGUUGUCCUUCACCGCAUUUGACCCUUUAUUUUUAAACUUUCAAUUAAUAUAUUUAAUUAAUACAUUUAAACGUACCAUUACCAAACUUUCAAAGGCAAGUUGUCCUUCACCAUAUUUGACUCUUUCCUUUUUCUUCAUGAAACUUUCAAUUAGUAUAUUUAAUUAAUACAUCUAACAUUUUUAGUACCAAACUCUUCCUCCCCCAUAUUUUUUAUUUCCAAUUAAUUCGUUAAUUCUUUUUCCCUCAUUUUUUCUCAUACACCGUUGCCUCCCUCAUUUCCUCCCUGACUAAUAUGCGCCCAUGUCCUCUCUCCACCGCUGCCGAAGGGAAAGUCAUCAUUUUCACUAUCAUCGUCGCCGGAGAAGGUGUCGUCGGUUCCAUCCCUGCUACCAAUAGUGAGAGACCUUUCGUGAAUGUGGCAAAUGAGGAACACAAAAGAAUAUUUGAUUUUAUCUUAUUAUUAAUUACUCCUAUAAUUUUUACCUGCUGCGAAGCGCGGGCUCCUUCACUAGUUAAAUUGAAGAGGUAAUAUUUAAUAUAUCCUUCAAAAUUUUAAAAUUAUCUUAUUAUUUCUGCAUGACCAAAAUACUUUUAUUGAAUUCAA
rnacentral:lncRNA from 1 species